AUAUGACUGAUUUUUGAAUUCCCUGUUAAGUAAAUCACAUUCUCCUUUUCACUACAGUUGGUUUCUAGAGAUUUACUUUGUUCUUUUAUUUGGAACACAUUACCUUGUUUCUUAAUUUUUUUUUUGAUUUUCUGGGUUGGUGUCUGCACAUUAGAUAAGACAACCACCUCUCCCAGAAUGAAAUAUGAUCCCAAAUCAACUUAGGGUAAGCCUGGAUAAAGUUGAUUUAUUCUGACAUCCUGGGUGAAGCUAAAAAGAAUCUUCUCCUGGAGGAAAGCCACAUUUCCCAAGAAUUUUAACUUUUCUUUAAAAAAAAAAUCUCACAAGGCAUAAAAUUCAUUAAAAAUUCACAAGGCAUACCAAGAGAUAGAAACAAGCGGAAAAGCAGACAACAGAAACAGUCACAUAGCUGAUCCAGGCAUUAAAAUUAUAUUGACUGUAUUUUAAAAUAACUGACUAUUAUGUUCAAUAAAGAGAUAAAAAGAGAGAGAAAAAUGGUGAAGAGGCGGCAAGAUUAACUUGCAGCUCCUACUUGGACAGGCAGAGCAGCAUGUGGAGACUCAAAUUAUGAAAUUUUUUUCCCAGAACUACCACAGAAACAUACCAGGAAAGCUGAGAGAAUCCACAGAUCCUUUGAAGGAAGUGGCUUGCUGUUGCAGGCUCCUUGAGACAGCCAAAAACUGACCUCCAGUACAAUUUUCAGGAGAAGUGGCAAGAAUGGACAUCCACCUCCCACCAUGUGAUGACAUGGUAAGAAGGCCCUUGCCAGAUGCUGGCACAUUGAUACCAAACUUCCCAACCUCCAGAACUGUGAGCCAAUAUAUUUCUAGUCAUUAUAAAUUACCUAGUCUGCAGUUUUGUUAUAGCAGCACAGAACAAAGAAAUACAGAUCCUCCCUGACUUAAUGUUGAGGUUAUGUUCUAAUAAACUCAUUUUAACUUGAAAAUAUUUUAAGUUCAAAAUGCAUUUAAUAGAUCUAAACUACAGAACAUCAUAGCUUAGCCUAUCUUAAACAUGCUCAGAACACUUACAUUAGCCUACAGUUGGGCAAAAUCAUCUAACAUCAAGCCUAUUUUCUAAUAAAUCUUAAAUAAUUUUUAAAUAUUUCGUGUAAUUUAUUGAAUACUGUACUGAAAGUGAAAAACAGAAUGGUUGUGUAGGUUCUCACCAUUAAUUUACAGAGUUGAAAGUCCACUGGACUUGAAGCUUGAGACAUUAAACUAAAAUCUAUUGCUGGGUGAUAAGGAUGCUACAACAACUGGGUUAUCAAUUUCUUUCUCUUCUGAUGAAACUUCAGAAUAGUUGGUAGAAGGCACUGAGACACUGACAUAUUGAUUUAGCAGGCAUAGUGUUCUUCAGAAAGACAUCGAGUAUUGGUUAUUUAUCCUCAUGUUACAUAUUUUACAUCAUUUGUUACUUCUCCCAUAUUUCUGAUUAUUUUAAAAAUUUUUGUCAAAAAGAAAUGAUCAUCAGAUUUGAGAAGAUCUAUCUGCCCUUAAGUUCACUAACAUUUACCAUCUAUACUUUGUUAAGAUCAUACUGUAAACAUUUUUAUUCAUUUAUUAUACUUUUCAGUUCUAGCAUUUUCAAUUUUUGUUUUUUCACAGUUAACAUUUCUCUUUUGAAAUUUCCUCUCUGUUGACUCAUUAAAACCAUUUUUUUCCAUAUUUGGCCUGGUUUGGUUUUUCUGUUGCUCUGACAUUGUGGAGAAAUUGUUCCCAGGAAGAUAAUGUCAUCUCUGAAUAACGAUAUAUAGUCAAUUUUCAUGCUGCUGAUAAAGACACACCUGAAACUGGGUAAUCUAUCAAGAAAAAGAGGUUUAAUGGACUCACAGUUCCACAUGGCUGGGGCUGCCUCACAGUCAUGGCAGAAGGCAAUAGGCAAGUCUUACGUGGCGGCAGACAAGAGAAAAUGAGACCCAAGCGAAAGGGGAAACCCAUAAUAAAACCAUCAGAUCUUGUGAGACUUAAUUACUACCAUGAGAACAGUAUGGGAGAAACCACCCCCAUAAUUCGAUUAUCUCCCACCAGGUCUCUCCUACAACAUGUGGGAAUUUUGC
rnacentral:lncRNA from 10 species